rnacentral:rRNA from 1 species
UACGGGGGGGGCAAGCGUUGUUCGGAAUUACUGGGCGUAAAGGGCUCGUAGGUGGCCAACUAAGUCGGACGUGAAAUCCCUCGGCUUAACCGGGGAACUGCGUCCGAUACUGGUUGGCUUGAGUUUGGGAGAGGGAUGCGGAAUUCCAGGUGUAGCGGUGAAAUGCGUAGAUAUCAAGAGGAACACCUGCGGCGAAGGCGGGUUGCUGGGCCGACACUGACGCUGAGGCGCGAAAGCUAGGGGAGCGAACGGG